UACAGAGGGGGCGAGCGUUGUUCGGAAUUACUGGGCGUAAAGGGCGCGUAGGCGGCCCGCUAAGUCGAACGUGAAAUCCCUGGGCUCAACCCAGGAACUGCGUCCGAUACUGGAAGGCUUGAAUCCGGGAGAGGGAUGCGGAAUUCCAGGUGUAGCGGUGAAAUGCGUAGAUAUCUGGAGGAACACCGGUGGCGAAGGCGGCAUCCUGGACCGGCAUUGACGCUGAGGCGCGAAAGCCAGGGGAGCAAACGGG
rnacentral:rRNA from 1 species